rnacentral:tRNA from 1 species
GCGCAAGUGGCGUAAUGGCAGCCGCGCCAGACUUAGGAUCUGGUGCCGAAAGGCGUAAGGGUUCGAGUCCCCCCUUGCGCA